CUCUCUCUUUCCCUGUCAUCUGUGUAAAUAAUAAAGAAAUGCUGCAAUUAUUCUUCACCGUGGCCUUCUCGGCGGUUCCAUUGACGCUCUACGUACCGCCGUUGAGAAGCCUGAGCCUCUUCGUCGGAUCCUUUCAGCAUCUCCUCCGUCAAGUCACCCUCUACACUCUCCACAUCUCUCCUCGCUUACGCCUCGCCUUUUCUCGGAUCUUAUCUCCGAUCAUCCGAUCUCAACUUCGCCACAGGGGGUACGCGAAUAUGAUUUUAUUCCGAUGAGAUUUUACAUGAAGAGGUUAUGGGAUCGUUCAUUGUUUUUAGUUUCUGAUGAUCGAUAUCUGUCUUUAUAGGGCUUGAUUUUGAUGGUGAUGUAGUGGGUUUAGUUUUAGGUUUCUUAAUAGAUUUGUUAACAUCCAUUUGAACGUGUGGACAGACUUGUUGUCUGUGA